AUUGAACGCUGGCGGCAGGCCUAACACAUGCAAGUCGAGCGGAUGAAGGGAGCUUGCUCCUGGAUUCAGCGGCGGACGGGUGAGUAAUGCCUAGGAAUCUGCCUGGUAGUGGGGGAUAACGUCCGGAAACGGGCGCUAAUACCGCAUACGUCCUGAGGGAGAAAGUGGGGGAUCUUCGGACCUCACGCUCUCAGAUGAGCCUAGGUCGGAUUAGCUAGUUGGUGGGGUAAAGGCCUACCAAGGCGACGAUCCGUAACUGGUCUGAGAGGAUGAUCAGUCACACUGGAACUGAGACACGGUCCAGACUCCUAAGGGAGGCAGCAGUGGGGAAUAUUGGACAAUGGGCGAAAGCCUGAUCCAGCCAUGCCGCGUGUGUGAAGAAGGUCUUCGGAUUGUAAAGCACUUUAAGUGGGGAGGAAGGGCAGUAAGUUAAUACCUUGCUGUUUUGACGUUACCAACAGAAUAAGCACCGGCUAACUUCGUG
rnacentral:rRNA from 1 species